CGAACAACCAAUCAUUGACAACAUUGCCCCACUCGUAUCAAGGAAGUUGGAGCCAAUCGUUUAAAGACGCAACAUCUGUUAUCUCACGUUAGAUUGUUACGUCUGAGAGAUUCGUAUUCAAUAACAGACAGCUGAUAACGCUUGGCAUGUCACCACAUCAAGAGCAGAAAUCUGAAUUUUUCGAUGACUAACCGAACAAAAGAAACUUGACCGUCUACCGUAUCUCAAAAUUCUCUAACAGCAACAACAGAGAAGAUUUUGUUAUAGCAUACACGAUUAUUUAAUAAACGAUAAAGAACAAAGAUGGGACACCACGUAUGCCCAAAAUGCAUAUAAAAUCGCUCGUGACGUUUGCGCCUUGCGAAACACGAAGGAAAGCAUAGCACAUGGAAGUAGGAAAAUAAAAUUGAAUAUGAGUGAUCCGAUUAGCCACAUAUAUACAUUAACAAGUUUUAUUAUAUGGAAUUGCACAGGCAUUUAUCAGAAGACGAUUCUUUAUUCACUGGAGAAUGAUUCCCAUCAUGAAAAUCAAUGUUCAGCUUGCAGGUUAGUUAACGUACACUAACGAGACGACAAUAAACUGCAGGAAGAAGUCUCUAACUCGUCUGGGCGAAGAUCCAGGGCUGGUGAGCAGCGGUAUAACUGUAAUAUUCAUACAAGUCUUUGACAAGAUAAAAAAAAGAAGAACCAAAGUUUUCAAGAGUGCCGGAUUCAAGUGACAAUGCCUGCAGUACCAAUCACACGUAAAUUACGUAACAAUUGCAAAGCAUUUUAAAAGACGUAAAUUUUAACUAUCUGGCUUUGUAACAGCAAGUGAUGGAUUUCGCGUGUGCAUAAGGUAGCCAGACUUAAGAGACAGAGAGAGAGGAAUAAAAGGGAACUGGUCCAGCUACCUACGAGCUACGUUAACAGUGGAUAGAAGGGGGGGCACGUGGAUGGAAGAGAGAGAUCAUUCUGGUUGAAUUCAUUGGUGUACGAUACCUUCGUCUUUCAAUGGAAGAUACUAAAGUUUUAGAAAGGUGCAAAGAUCCAAGAUCGAGCGAGAUAGAAGGUCGCGUAGCGAGGACAUCAUCCCCAUAGCCAAUAAGGACAGACACAGCCUAUUCCUCGUAGCUAGAGAGGAGGCGCACGAGAGUUUCGUGUCCUGUACCGUAGUUUCGAACGUGUCUAACGUCAGCUUCUCCUGAGAAAGAAAAGAUCAAAUCUCUAGAAAAAAAAAAAAAUAAGGAAAAAGAAGAAAAAAAGGAAAAAGAAAAGAAGCGUUCCCGCCGUUAACAUUAACUGUACAAGGUGAAUGAAGGAUGAACGGUUGAACGAUGUAUAUAUAUAUAUACACACACACCAUACCCACAGAUAUAUAUAUAUAUAUAUAUACAGACGCAACCCAAUUCUUUUUCUGUACAGAGAGAGAAUGUUACGACUGUUGGACUUGCCUUGGAACGACGUGGUUUACACCCAAAUAUUUAGUCGCCUGGAUCUACAGGACCUCGUGCGACUGCGAUGCCUUUCAACGGAGUUUGAAGUCCUGGUCGACAAUUACAUUGCCACUUGGGAAACGUUGGACCUCUCGCGGUGGCACGUGAGCUUCGAGCCGAGCGCCUUCGAGGUACUCGUAACGACCUGCAUGAGCCUCCGCCGAGUGAAUCUCACCGGCAGCGUCUGGCUAGGCUCCCGUCACGUGGUCGAGCUCCUGCACCGGCAUCCCGAGCUGACGCACCUGGACUUAAGCGGUUGCAACGGCGAGCACAUGCGAGGCUCCGACUUCGUCGAGAUAACCAAGUGCCGUAAUCUCACGUCCGUACGUUUACGAGGAUGCGCCUGGGUCGAGGAGCCAUUCCUAAUGAGCUUGCUCCGAUACAACGAGAACCUGCGUGAACUCGUACUAGCCGACUGCUAUCGCCUUUCCGACGAGGCUCUCCUCUCCAUGUUCCACGAGACGAGCAGAUGCAAGUGACAACUGGCCACGAGAGACGAACAUUCUGGGUUCACAAGAACAGCUCGGAUGAUCGUCGUUCCAAAACGUUCGUACGACCGCGCUUGGCAUAAUGGACGCGGUGCACGUGGUUCCAGGACCAAGGUUGACGUGCCUGUCUUUGAAAAAUGCCACCCUGUCGGACCGGAGCCUCUACGAGCUCGGCUCUCGCUGCAGGACCAUCCGUGAGUUAGAUCUGCGAUCCUGCUCAAAGAUCACCGACGCGGGCUUGCUCUCGCUGAGGUCGCUGCCGGCUUUAAAGAAGCUACGCGUCAGCGGCUGCGUCCUCAUUACGGAGCGCGGUCUGGCGUCGAUGCGUGGUCGUGUAGAAAUUGAUUUACCGGCCAAGCUGAUUUGUGGACCAGGGCCGUUGAGCCUGCAAGUUUGAUUGGGCAUCGUCGUGCAUCGGCUCUUCGAAAAAGCAACAAUGCGACAGGCUCGAGAAUCCCAUCUCACGACCAUGCUUCACUUCC